UACGUAGGGCGCAAGCGUUGUCCGGAUUUAUUGGGCGUAAAGAGCUCGUAGGCGGUUUGUCGCGUCUUCCGUGAAAACUGGGGGCUUAACUUCCAGCUUGCGGUGGAUACGGGCUGACUGGAGUGCGGCAGGGGAGACUGGAAUUCCUGGUGUAGCGGUGAAAUGCGCAGAUAUCAGGAGGAACACCGGUGGCGAAGGCGGUUCUCUGGGCCUGUACUGACGCUGAGGAACGAAAGCGUGGGGAGCGAACAGG
rnacentral:rRNA from 1 species